AGUGAACGCUGGCGGUAGGCCUAACACAUGCAAGUCGAACGGCAGCACAGUAAGAGCUUGCUCUUACGGGUGGCGAGUGGCGGACGGGUGAGGAAUACAUCGGAAUCUACUUUUUCGUGGGGGAUAACGUAGGGAAACUUACGCUAAUACCGCAUACGACCUACGGGUGAAAGCAGGGGAUCUUCGGACCUUGCGCGAUUGAAUGAGCCGAUGUCGGAUUAGCUAGUUGGUGGGGUAAAGGCCCACCAAGGCGACGAUCCGUAGCUGGUCUGAGAGGAUGAUCAGCCACACUGGAACUGAGACACGGUCCAGACUCCUACGGGAGGCAGCAGUGGGGAAUAUUGGACAAUGGGCGAAAGCCUGAUCCAGCCAUGCCGCGUGGGUGAAGAAGGCCUUCGGGUUGUAAAGCCCUUUUGUUGGGAAAGAAAAGCAGCAGGUUAAUACCCCGCUGUUCUGACGGUACCCAAAGAAUAAGCACCGGCUAACUUCGUG
rnacentral:rRNA from 1 species